rnacentral:SRP_RNA from 1 species
UGGUAUAUUCUGCGCUAUCGUCCAUCACCCAACCCCGUCAGGACCGGAAGGUAGCAGCGGUAAGUGACCGGGCGGUGAGAUGCAGGUGAUGUA